UGUCCCUCUCAGAUCUUUUUGCGGUCUGGGCUUGCUGUUCCUCCAACCCACACUCAGGAAGCCCUUACCCCAAAAAGUAUCCGCGGGGGAGC
rfam:Alligator mississippiensis ScZkoYb_825, whole genome shotgun sequence.